rnacentral:rRNA from 1 species
CCUACGGGAGGCAGCAGUGGGGAAUCUUGCGCAAUGGGCGAAAGCCUGACGCAGCCAUGCCGCGUGAAUGAUGAAGGUCUUAGGAUUGUAAAAUUCUUUUCACCGGGGACGAUAAUGACGGUACCCGGAGAAGAAGCCCCGGCUAACUUCGUGCCAGCAGCCGCGGUAAUACGAAGGGGGCUAGGCGUUGCUCGGAAUUACUGGGCGUAAAGGGAGCGUAGGCGGAUAGUUUAGUCAGAGGUGAAAGCCCAGGGCUCAACCUUGGAAUUGCCUUUGAUACUGGCUAUCUUGAGUAUGGGAGAGGUUAGCGGAACUCCGAGUGUAGAGGUGAAAUUCGUAGAUAUUCGGAAGAACACCAGUGGNGAGCGC